rnacentral:misc_RNA from 1 species
AACCUUAUGGACCUGCGGGCGUAUACCUGCGGAAGGAUCAUUAUCGAGUUGCAAAACUCCAACCCUUUGUGAACAUACCUCAGUCGUUGCUUCGGCGGUGGACGGCCUGUUUUUCGGAACGGCCGGAAGCCGCCGGAGGUUCCAAACUCGUAUUUUUUUAGUGUAUCUCUGAGCCUGAAAACAAAUAAUCAAAACUUUCAACAACGGAUCU